rnacentral:rRNA from 1 species
AGUGGCGGACGGGUGAGUAACACGUAAGAAUUUACCUUUGGGAGGGGGACAACAAUUGGAAACGAUUGCUAAUACCCCAUAUGCUUUGGAGUGAAAUCCUUGAAAGUGAAAUGGAAGAUUCAAUAUCUCCGCCUAAAGAGAAGCUUGCGGCUGAUUAGCUUGUUGGUGAGGUAAUGGCUUACCAAGGCGACGAUCAGUAUCUGGUUUGAGAGGACGAUCAGACACACUGGAACUGAGACACGGUCCAGACUCCUACGGGAGGCAGCAGUGGGGAAUUUUCCGCAAUGGGCGAAAGCCUGACGGAGCAAUACCGCGUGAGGGAUGACGGCCUACGGGUUGUAAACCUCUUUUUUCAAGGAGGAAAAAUUUCAACGAGAAAUCAUGACGUGUACUUGAAGAAUAAGCAUCGGCUAACUCCGUGCCAGCAGCCGCGGUAAGACGGAGGAUGCAAGUGUUAUCCGGAAUCACUGGGCGUAAAGCGUCUGUAGGUGGUUUCGUAAGUCAACUGUUAAAUCUUGGGGCUUAACCUCAAAACUGCAGUCGAAACUACUAGACUAGAGUAUAGUAGGGGUAAAGGGAAUUUCCAGUGGAGCGGUGAAAUGCGUAGAGAUUGGAAAGAACACCGAUGGCGAAGGCACUUUACUGGGCUAUUACUAACACUGAGAGACGAAAGCUAGGGUAGCAAAUGGGAUUAGAUACCCCAGUAGUCCUAGCUGUAAACAAUGGAUACUAGA